rnacentral:rRNA from 1 species
GACAGAGGAGGCAAGGGUUAUCCGGAAGUAUGGGGCGUAAAGCGUCCGUAGGUGGUUUGACAAGUCUGGGGUUAAAGCCCGGAGCCCAACUCCGGAUCGGCCCUGGAAACUGUCAGACUUGAGUAAGGUAGGGGUUGCGGGAAUUCCCGGUGUAGCGGUGAAAUGCGUAGAUAUCGGGAAGAACACCAGCGGCGAAAGCGCGCAACUGGGCCAUUACUGACACUGAGGGACGAAAGCUAGGGGAGCGAAGGGG